AACACUCUUAACGUGGGAUCGAUGAACCGUUACUGAUCUGUUUAUGGGUACGGGGAGCAACUAGCUGAUGAUGAGAUCCACUUGUCUGCUCUUGCCUAUACUCUUACUUUGGCCACACCAACCAUGCCUUCGCUUUCUCAUUUUCCAUGUUUAACUAUGUAUUUCGAUCACUUCUAUAUUACCACCCUCGUGUGUGUGUGUGUGUAUGUUCUUGUAUCCUCUUCUUUUCAACUGAAAGAGUCAUCCUGUCCUCUCCAGGUACUGGACAAUUGUAAUGCUCAGCUCCAUUUAUGCAUCUUCCAAGAAAGUGUCACAGCAGCAUUAGUGUUUGGUGUUGUUUGAUUCGUGUCCAUGUGUACCCAAGCAAUUAUUAUUAACAAGUAAAGCUUCAUAAACUUAUAUCCAGUUGGCCGCUUCUGUAAGUGAUAUAUAACAUGGAUCUCUACUGCUA